rnacentral:rRNA from 1 species
GAUGAACGCUGGCGGCGUGCCUAAUACAUGCAAGUCGAGCGAACAGACGAGGAUCUUGCUCCUCUGACGUUAGCGGCGGACGGGUGAGUAACACGUGGAUAACCUACCUAUAAGACUGGGAUAACUUCGGGAAACCGGAGCUAAUACCGGAUAAUAUAUUGAACCGCAUGGUUCAAUAGUGAAAGACGGUUUUGCUGUCACUUAUAGAUGGAUCCGCGCCGCAUUAGCUAGUUGGUAAGGUAACGGCUUACCAAGGCAACGAUGCGUAGCCGACCUGAGAGGGUGAUCGGCCACACUGGAACUGAGACACGGUCCAGACUCCUACGGGAGGCAGCAGUAGGGAAUCUUCCGCAAUGGGCGAAAGCUUGACGGAGCAACGCCGAGUGAGUGAUGAAGGUCUUCGGAUCGUAAAACUCUGUUAUUAGGGAAGAACAAAUGUGUAAGUAACUAUGCACGUCUUGACGGUACCUAAUCAGAAAGCCACGGCUAACUACGUG